ACCACUUAACUUGAAUAUGUGAGAACUUUUGAGUUGAAUGGUAUUUUCUUAGAGAGGCAAAGAGAGUAUUAAAUAUAAUGGGCUGGGCCUAUGGGAGCCGUCUAUUAAAGAGACUAACUCUCAAGAAACCCGCCGAUAAUAAUAACUGAUGACUAUUAUUCAACCCAUCAUAGAACACAAUCAUAAAAUAAGUAUCUACACAUUUAAGACCCACAAAACAAUUGAUAUAUUAAGCUCAAAUCCUUUAACUUUAAUUAUAGGGCAUAAGAACAACUUUAAUAAAUUACAAUGACACAUAUAUAUUUACAUAUAAGCCCAAUGUUGGACUAUGAUCAAACAUGAUAGACAUAAAAAUAGUAUGGAUCAAGUCUAUAGAAAAUUUGAGGAAAAUAAGGUUAUUUUGGUCAAAAAAAUUGUAAAAUAAGCUUCGAAAAAACUUAUUUCCCUAAUAAACACCUCCUAAUUAAAUGCUAAGGUUUUGUUGUGUUCGUUGUUACUAACAGCAGGUCAUUACUUAAGUCGAGUCGACAAAAGUCAGCCAAAAAAUUGCUCGCUAUUAGUAACAACGGGCCAUAUACAAACAAAAGCUUAGAUUAAGGUUUAUGGGAAAUUAAUCGUUCGUUGUUACGAACAUUGGACCAUUAACAACCCAAGUCAAUGACAGGCAAAAAAGUCAACAAAAGUCAUCCUAAUCGCCCAUAUUAGUAAGAAUGGACGAUCGAUUGGCUGACUUUUUUUUGACUCUGUUUCAGUAGUCGACCGCGGUUAGCAACAACGAACAAACUCCAUACCUUAGGAAUGGGCUGAAGACGCUUAUUUUGGUAAAUAUGUUUUUCCAAGCUUAGUUUGGGAAUAUUUUUAAAAGAAAGGUUUAUUUUGUUUAAAUUUCAAGUCUAUAGAAGACUUUUAUAUUGCAUCGAACUAUUGGUUUGGAUUUCGAUUCGUAACUUUAAUCAUAGUAGACUUGCGGGCUUGCGGCCUUAUGAAUGUAUUCUUGAACUUGUCUAUCAACAAUGGGUUUUCUUUUGGAGCUAAUUAGUAACUUGUUACACUAAAAAAAAAGUGCAUAUACAACACUUAAUUAAGUGUGGUAAGGUAUUUGCAUUUACUCAUGCUUAAUAAGUGUGGAAAUAGUAACCUUACUUAUAAAUGUGGGGAAAAGCAUAUCUAAGACAAAUGGAUGAAAAAUUACCCACACGCUUAUAAGCGUAUUACUCACACUUAUAAGCGUGGGUAUUGUCUAAUUAAAAUAAAAUGUAGAUUAAUAGAACUAUACACACAUUCAUUUGCUUCCCCUGCUCGGCGCUUCACACCAUUGUUUUUGCCCUAAUUUUUGUUGUUUCACGCCCUCACAAUCGGAAUUAUUCAUCAUUUUCACAUACCUUUCCUUAUUUCUCCCAAAAUAUCCAAUUGAGAGAUGCUGUUCUUAAGAAUUCUGAUCAGCAAAUAAAGAACUUAGAUGCAAAGCUUGAUUCUCGGACUUUAAAAUACCAAUGAUGCUUGGGAACUGGAACUGUGGGUUUUUUAAGAAAUGUGGCGCGGGAAGUAUGAAGCUUUGAAAGCUGAAAGAGGCAUCUGCUGCGCUAGAUAUGCAAAAGGAAAUAGAAGAGCUCAAAUUGCAAUGAGGAGCAUGAUUCGUUUCAUGAUCUUGCUGAUAGAAUGCUUGAGGAUAAGGACAAAGAUUUCAAGGCUUUUGUACAUCAACAGUAAACUUCAAGGUGCUUUAGAUUUAGAUCUUAAAAAUUAAAUUAUUACUAAAUGUGUUUAGGUGGUUAUCAAGAAAUAAAUACUUUGGUUUAUGAAGACAAACACAAGUACCAAACAAACACAAGCAUCCAAUAGCAUUUAUGAAGACGUUGUACAUUGGUUUUAGUUUUGUAAUGUAAUAUAAUGACAAUGAUAUUGUUUUUGAAUACUUUUCAUGAAUAACAUUUGUCAUUAAAAACCAAUCGUAAAUAACAUAAUGAGAAUCAUUUAGUGAUAUUGGGAUAAUGAAAUAUCAUUGUGU